UACGUAGGGUGCGAGCGUUGUCCGGAAUUAUUGGGCGUAAAGAGCUUGUAGGCGGUUUGUCGCGUCUGCUGUGAAAAUCCGGGGCUCAACCCCGGACUUGCGGUGGGUACGGGCAGGCUAGAGUGUGGUAGGGGAGACUGGAAUUCCUGGUGUAGCGGUGAAAUGCGCAGAUAUCAGGAGGAACACCGAUGGCGAAGGCAGGUCUCUGGGCCACUACUGACGCUGAGAAGCGAAAGCAUGGGGAGCGAACAGG
rnacentral:rRNA from 1 species